rnacentral:rRNA from 1 species
AGUGAACGCUGGCGGCAGGCCUAACACAUGCAAGUCGAACGGCAGCACAGUAAGUUCUUGCUCUUAUGGGUGGCGAGUGGCGGACGUGUGACGUAUACAUCGUACUCUACUCUUUCGUGGGGGAUAACGUAGGUAAACUUACUCUAAUACCGCAUACGACCUACGGGUUUAAGCAGGGGAUCUUCGUCCCUUUCGCGUUUGCAUGAGCCGUUGUCGGAUUAGCUAGUUGGCGGGGUAAAGGCCCACCAAGGCGACGAUCCGUAGCUGGUCUGAGAGGAUGAUGAGCGACAGUGGAACUGAACCACGGUACAGACUCCUACGGGAGGCAGAAGUGGGGAAGGUAGGAAAAAGGGCGCAAGACUGAACAAGCGAUGCAGGGUUGGUGAAGAAGGCCUUCGGGGUGUAAAGCCCUUUUGUUGGGAAAGAAAAGCAGCAGGUUGAUACACGGCUGUUCUGACGGUACCCAAAGAAUAAGCACCGGCUAACUUCGUG